rnacentral:rRNA from 1 species
UACGAAGGGGCUAGCGUUGCUCGGAAUCACUGGGCGUAAAGCGCACGUAGGCGGACUUUAAGUCGGAGGUGAAAUCCUGGAGCUCAACUCCAGAACUGCCUUCGAUACUGAGAGUCUUCGAGUUCGGGAGAGGUGAGUGGAACUGCGAGUGUAGAGGUGAAAUUCGUAGAUAUUCGCAAGAACACCAGUGGCGAAGGCGGCUCACUGGCCCGAUACUGAC